rnacentral:rRNA from 1 species
GUGGGGAAUAUUGGACAAUGGGCGAAAGCCUGAUCCAGCAAUGCCGCGUGAGUGAUGAAGGCCUUAGGGUUGUAAAGCUCUUUUACCCGGGAUGAUAAUGACAGUACCGGGAGAAUAAGCUCCGGCUAACUCCGUGCCAGCAGCCGCGGUAAUACGGAGGGAGCUAGCGUUGUUCGGAAUUACUGGGCGUAAAGCGCACGUAGGCGGCUUUGUAAGUUAGAGGUGAAAGCCUGGAGCUUAACUCCAGAACUGCCUUUAAGACUGCAUCGCUUGAAUCCAGGAGAGGUGAGUGGAAUUCCGAGUGUAGAGGUGAAAUUCGUAGAUAUUCGGAAGAACACCAGUGGCGAAGGCGGCUCACUGGACUGGUAUUGACGCUGAGGUGCGAAAGCGUGGGAGCAAACAGGAUUAGAAACCCUGGUAGUCC